UUUUAGAGGGUGAAUUGCAUUUUGCACCCAAUAUUUCAAAAUUAGCAAACUCCACCCUGAAAUUAUAUUUCUCAUGGCACUAUGCACCCCACAUCAAUUCCUUAUGAUUUUUUUACCCAAAAAUCAACACAUCACCAUACAUUAACUUUUGUAGGGAUUUUCGUGCUUGAUGGUAUACUAUAGUUUUUAGUUUAAGAAAAAAAAAAUAUGUAAAGCCUUAUUUUAAUUAAUUCAUAUAACUACUCAUUUAAAAACAGUUAAUCAUGUCCAACAGUGCUCAUUCUAUUUUUUUUAAUGUAUAUUAAUUUUAUGAAAAAUUAGGAUUUUUUGAAUUACUUUGAAAAUUAAAAUAAAAUUAUAAAUUUUAUAUACAAUUUUCUUAAUUCGAUGCGAAAUAUAUGGAAUAAAUCACCAGUUAGACAGUUAUGUUUGUUUAUAAAUUUCUAUACAAGUAAAAUAAUUAAAAUAAAUAUUAAGUAAGAAAACAAAACAUAAAGAAUGAAAAUUCCUCAAAUGUUUAAAAUAUCACGAUAUAUUAUUGAGUUUUGGCUAAAAUAUCACGAGGAAGGGUGCAUUUUGGCAUGAGAUAUAUUUUGUGAGGAUGGACAUUGCCAAUUUUCAAAUGUUAGGGUGCAAAACGCCAAACACUGUUAAUGUUGGGGUGCAAAACGCAAUUCACCCAGUUUUGUGAGAGAUAUUUGUAACACAUUUCACCUCUUUGAUUUUUGAACUAAACCCUAGUCGUCGACACAAUUUCUACCGGACGUUCGCCUGGCACGGUGGCACCGCCCACUUCUUCGGUUCUUCUCUGCCACUCCGCCGCCGUCUAGUCACCGUUAAGGAAUGGCAAAUGUUAGGCAUCUCCGAGUCAAUCAGGCUAGGUCUGGUGUUCCGAUCGAGAACGAAGCUACACUUCAAACGAUUCAAGAUACAUUAAAUGUAAUUGUAGGUCGCUUGGAUAGGAUAGAAGCCCGCUCGAAUGUAAGCAUCGCUAGGUUCACCAAUUGGCAAAGGACCAGUUCUACUGUGGAUCUGCAUUGGAAGACCGUCCAGUUUGUUUCGAUUGUCAAACACACAUUUGGCCAUCCAUUUCUACCUCAACCUAACGUGGAUGGCGUUCAACUUGCAGCCGACUAUCCCUUGGGUUCCCAACCACCGGCAGGUUUAAUGCCGGCAAACAAUGAUGAAAUUGAUAGGUGGUCUUCUCAUAUGACUCUUGAGCAGUUACGAGAGAAAUAUAGAGGAAUUUUCUGGUUUUACAACGACGCUAGAUUCGAGUUGCCCGUCAAUGCCUCUUUGGAUUUGAUACUCGAUGCAAAUAUUACUUUGGCUAAUUUCUAUCGUCAUGAAUGAAAUCGUGUUCAUCUAGGUGGGCCUGAUAUUUUGAACAAGUUUGGAUCUGUUGGUGCAAAAAUGAAUUCUAGUAGGUGGAAUGUGCAAGACUGGAGAAUUGGCUAAUGCUUAAAUAGGUUAUUUUGUAGGAUUUUUGAAUUCAGAUAUGCACUUGUUUGUAAUAGGUUAUUUUGUUGGAUUUUUGAAUUAAGAUGCACUUGUUUUACAAGUGUUGUUGAAUGCACUCUUAAUUUUAUUUCAGACCAAAACUCUAAUGUUCAUAUAUUUAGUUCAAUUUUCUUUA